ACAUGGAAUUAUUCAGAUGGUACAUAUUGUUUAAAAGAGAAGGAAGUAGAAGCUUCCACGGUCCCGCCGCUGUGAAGAUUGAGGACGUUUAAUAUCGCCACUGAGAGACGACAUAUGUGCAUAUAUUAAAGUUUAAAUAUGCUAGGUUGUAUAAUAAGUCUUUUGGGAAGGCUAAACGCCCAGUGAUAUCGAAGUCAGAAGAACUGCCACUGAAUUUAUGCGGAAU
rnacentral:ncRNA from 21 species